rnacentral:lncRNA from 1 species
UGUGACUAGUUCUUUAAUCUGCAGUGCCUCGACUAUUUAUAAUGAGAUUGCUGUAGUUUGACUAUAUAUACAUUUGGUCCCUACUCAUUCAGGUCCUUGCGGUGUAGAUUGACUGCAGUAGAUUCGUUAUAGGAGUAGGAUGUGCAUCUAGAUAGGAUCUAUCGACCUUAAUAGAUAAUAAGUAGUCCUAUGUGAAUUAUGAGACUGAGUUCUAAAGACCAUGAUCAUGACAGUGUAAG